UCUUUUUCUUCUCAGUUUCUUCCGUCGAUCUCUCUUCUCUUUUACCUUCUCUUUUUCUUCCAAUGAUGUUUGUAUCUGCUUGUCUUGUAUAAAGAGAGACAUAAAGUAGAAAUUAGGGUUUCAAUAAGUUUGUAUCUCCUUGUCCUGUACAAAGAGAGACAGAAAGUAGAAAUUAGGGUUUCAAUAGAUUGAGGGAUUCUGGAGAAAUUAGGGUUUCAGUAGGGAUUUCGGUGAAAAGGGUAUUGGAUCCUCUUCAAUUCAAGAUAUAAGAAAUGGGUGUUGUGAUCGAUAGAUUUUGAUACUACGAAGAACAUAAGAUUAGAAUUCAUAUUUUUGGUGCUCAUUCAUGGCCAGAAAGAGAUAAAGAAUUGAAGAUUCAAUAGGUAUUUCUGCUGGUGAUUGAGUUAUAAAUAUGGACUCAAUUGAUUUUAGGGGUUUGAACUGAUUUGAAUUCAGCAAUUGACGAUGAUUUAGGGUUUGUAGAAGAAGGUUCUGUGGUCGAUUUAAGAGAAUAAGAAUCGGUAGAUUAGGUUUGGAAUUUGGUCAUUCUCAGGCUCAGGAUGGAGAAGAUAUAAAUGAAGUCAUGGGUUAAGUUGAUUUGUAGGUUCCAAUUGGAGGAAACUAGAGGCUUAUUGAUGUCCCAACAAUUGCAUCAACAGUGGCAUAAACAAGAUAUUUGUCUUUACUCAGUUAAUUAUGCUUCCCUCAACCGUCUCCUCGCUCGCACAUAUAAUUUAGGGUUCUAGAUCCAUGCUACAUAUUGCCAGUGGAGAAUAAGUGGUAGGGGAUGAGGCAUCCUGACCAGAUGUGAUACAUGUUCACCGGAAAUGCAUCGAGUGGAAGUUCCUAAUACACCAUAUCAAACUGGGAAACCUUUGGGUGGUACUCUUGGUUAUGGCUCAGUUGGUAGGUGGUCCCUAUCAAAUGGGUUUCAUUCCUGGCCGUACAAUGUCUCACCCCCUUGCACCUACACCUGCGCAAAGGCCUUUUAUACCUGCAAGUAAUAACACUACACUAGGAUUUUCUCAAAGACCUGCAAUGAGUGUUUGAAUGCAAGCUCCAAGUCGCUGCUCAGCCAUUGUAGGUAGAUUCAUCUUCAACACCUGCAACUCCACCUCUUACAGUUCAGAUGGUUGAUACGUCAAAACUUCCUGCUCCUCAGAGACCUGUGUCAUCAGCAUAAUAUUUGUUGUGCAAAGAAUCUACUUUGCACAACAGGAGUCAACCACAAGUUUCCAACUAGUUUCAGAAGCUUGUCCUCUCAUUAUGGCUUGCAGUACUUAAGAUCAAGACGAGGCAAAGUGUGAGAUGAAGGUAGAAGGUAACCAUUAUAGUAGCUCGUUUUCAGUCCGCGUUAUCUCCACAUUCAGUAGGUCGUGAGCUAGGACGUACAAUGAACAAUGACUGGGAUUGUGUUCUUGAAGUUACUUGAAGUUGGAAGAAAGAAUGUGGGUUACAAUCCUAGUACGUUUCCACAAUGCUAGAAAAAAGAUAAAGAUCUUGUUAGCUUUGUAAGUUUCUAAAUAGUAUCUUCUCAUAGUGACUUACAAAAAUUUGUGAACUUAAGAAGUUUUCUAUGUAUCUAUGAACUUAAGAAAUUUUCUAUGC